AGCUUCCUUCGGGAAGUGGAUUAGCGGCGGACGGGUGAGUAACACGUGGGUAACCUGCCUCAAAGUGGGGGAUAGCCUUCCGAAAGGAAGAUUAAUACCGCAUAAUAUAAGAGAAUCGCAUGAUUUUCUUAUCAAAGAUUUAUUGCUUUGAGAUGGACCCGCGGCGCAUUAGCUAGUUGGUAAGGUAACGGCUUACCAAGGCAACGAUGCGUAGCCGACCUGAGAGGGUGAUCGGCC
rnacentral:rRNA from 1 species